UCUGUUCCCUUACAGUUUAUGGUGAACACAUUCAAAAUUCUCUCUUCCAGUACUUUGAAAUGCACACCGCAUCGCUGCUAUCUGCAGUCACCCUACUAUGCGCACUGAAACAGCUUGCUCCUGUCUAACUACAGGCUCCCAUUUUUACAGCGGGUUUGGUUUUAUAAUUGGGGUAAGACCUCAACACACAGACAGUGUUCUCUCGGCGCUGGUAAGUCUACAAAAAGGUUAUGUUUCUGCUCUGUGUCUACAAAUCUCUGACAGGCAUCCUUCCUGGUAAUGGGUUUGCCCAAAAAUCUUCUCUGGUAAGUAUCAUUUUCAGAAAAUAAAUAAUAAUGUUUUAAUAUAUGUGAUAGAUUUUCUUUUACAAUAAUGGUCCCCAAUAGAUCCCAUCUCCCACCCCCACAUAUCUGGGCACUUUCCUCCCACGCUGUCUCUGGACUUGGCUGUCUUUGGACUUGAGUUGGCUGAUGGGAUCAUUAUCGAACUUGACAGAAGCAGAGACUGGGCAGACUUGCCAAUUGAGCUUGACUCCCUCUUUUUGCUGAGAACUUUCUGGCAUUAGGUGAAGAAACACGAGCCAACCUGCUGGAGAUGACAACCUAGACACCAGCCAGCACCACCCCCACCCCUGCCCCCAUCCAUAUGAGCAAAGCCAUUGUGGGCUUCCAGCCCCAUCUGAGUUGCCAGAUGCUUGCAACCGCACGAAUGGCUCUGAUGAAACUGGUCCCCAAAAUGCCCAGCUGCGUCCAGCCCUCACUGCUGACCUGCAGAAUAAUGAACUGAAGAAACUGCAGUCGUUCUUAGUUACCAAGUGCCGGACGGGUUUAUCAGAGCAGAUAACUGAGGAACUUAAAAUUUAUAAAUACGGUGUGGUCAUUUUUGUCCUCUUGUCUAUAUUUCUAGAAGAGGCUUUUGUUGCAUGAUUUGUUUGUGGAAAGUCCAGAGACCCCUGUUUGUUUGUUGUUUGUUUGUUUAGUUGAUUUUGGAUAAUCCAGACUAGAAGCUCUGCCUGGGAAAUUCUUGAGAAGUGUAGCAGAACUGUCAGCUAAACAAAACAAGAGUCCCUGAAUAGCAGGAGAGAAAUUAGCUGGCAGCAAGGACAUGCCACACUCCUGGGAAUGAGUUCCUGACACCGUUCUGCAUAUGCCAGCAGCAAUCCUUUGCCUUGACACUCAGCAUGCACAAUCACACAGGCAUGCUCGGCUGUUGAAAAAUGCUGAUCUUCACCUGGUGAAUAGAUGUAGCUAAGUAGCUGAGUAAAUUCUAGAGCCUCAGUUAAGGAACAUGCCUGCUACCUCAUACCUAUGACAAGGAGGUGGGUGGGGAAUGCGCUCUGAAAGACUCUGAAGAACUUAAAAACAAUGAGAAACAAGAGCAAUAGACACAUUCAAAGCAGAGAGACUCUACCUUUUCUGUGGUUCUGCCUACCCUCCAGGUAAAGAAAUAACCAGGAAUAGUCAGCUUCUCUAAACCAGCAAACAAUGCAAGCUCCUGGGAAGGGGGUCAAAUUAAGGUCACCGAAAUAAUCAGGGUGAUCUAUGAGGGACAGAGAGAGAUUAACUGAAAGGUUCAGGAUUCAACGAGGAAGCCCACAUUCCAGCGAACAUUCUUCUUGGUGAUCUGGAAGAAGUAUUUGUUAAAUAUUUUGUUCCAGAGGAGAGACACCGUAGGGAUUUGAACCGAUGCUGGGGAUAAUAAAGACAAUAAUGGAAAGAAGACGAAGAGACACAGACUGGAGAAACACAUUGGCUUCAUUCUGCUUCCUCCAACAAUCACAAACUAACAUCCCCCCCCAUUGGGGACCCCUGAGAUAGACUCCUUAUUGUAAAUAAGUCUAUUUAAAAAUCUUAAUUUAAAUAUCGCUUAGAGUAGCAAGGCCACUAUUGAUUUUUAAGAUGCAUUCCUCCUUCUUAUGGCAACAACCCUCCUCUCUUCACAGCCUGUUGCUUGGAUGGAAACCGGGUCCUGUGGUACGCAUGUGACCAUCAUUAAGCCACCUUAAGCCAUGGCACCCACUUAAGGAGGGUCCCAGGCCCCUACUAGGACCAACGGGAUGCUGUAAAGCGUUUGCGACUGAAGGAGGCACUUCGGCUCUAGCAGAAGAUGAUGUCGGCCAGGGAAGGUGGAGUGCCUGCCAGCCAGUCACAGCACCAACCCACGGACCUCAGUGUGCCUUUUGUACAGUCUCGAAUCACUAGAAGCUGCAUUCACUACAAAGACUGGGAAACGGUUCUACCGAGGAAUGUUUACAAUGAAAUGUGAUCAUAGACGCUCACCCAGUACUCUGAACUUCACGUGCUUCUGAUGAGUCACGAAGUCUGGGUGUGUGGCCCACAUGUGCCUGAGCGUGGGGCCAUCCACUGGAGCCUGGAGACUCCACCCGUACCCACAACCCCAAGGAAUGCUCGUCCCUCCCCCAGCAACUAUGCGCUACCAAUAGCUCCUCCUUGAGGAGAUGGGCUGGUGACGAGGCAUUGGCUGACUGGGUAGAAGAGUCUGAUGACCUCCGUUUGACCCCGGAACCCACACACAAUGCCAGCUGAGGUAGCGAGCACUCCCGCAGCACCACGGAGGUGGGAGAUGGGCACGAAAGAAUGAACUCUGAAGACAACUGAGUCCCUCUGACCUCUUAAGGGCCUGCACCCACGCGUGCAUUCACACAUAAACGGUUUUUUUGUUGUUGUUGUUGUUUGGUUGGUUUUUUUUUUUUGAGGCAGGGGGUCUCUGUAUAGUCUUGGCUGUCCAGGAACUCACCCUGUAGACCAGGCUGGCCUCAAACUCACAGAGACUCACCUGCCUCUGCCUCCCGAGUGCUGGGAUUAAAGGCAUGUGCACCAUUACUGCACAAAGAAUUCUAAAAAAAUGUUUCAGGGUUAGGAAUGGUAAAAACAGUCAUUUAGCAUGCAGAGGUUCUAGUUUCAGUCCCCGGGACCCAACAGAAAACCACGUUUUCAAAUAAUAUUUUAUAGGACAUAUAUUUCUCAAUAUAUUUUUGCCCCACACCCACGGUGUGUAAGGUCUGAAAUAUACACAGUAUUGUUCAAUAUAUUAUUGAUUCAAAAUUAUA